rnacentral:ncRNA from 1 species
CGUUCCGAGGGGCGCUGCGACCGUUGGGUGGACCCGUCCACUACAGCCCGUGUUCCUGCACGGACUUCCCAAACGGCCAGGCUCGGACGGCUUUCACGCAACAACGGCGCCCGGCGAAC